UUCCUUCCUCCUUCCUUCCUCCUGUUCCUUUCCCAAAAACGACUUUUUAAUAAAAGUAAGGAAUGAAAAAUAUACAAAUGAUUAAAGUUAAAAGUCUAAAUUCAGUCUUAAAGCAGAACAAUCUGAUCUCAUGUGGGCCGGACCAAUAAAAGGAAGGAAGGAAGGAAGGAAGGAAGGAAGGAAGGAAACAAGGAUGGAAAGAAGGGUAAAGUGAUAGGAAGGAAAGACAAAAGGAAGGAAGGACGGGAGGGAGGAAGGAAAGAAGGAAGGAAGGAAAAGGGAUUAGGAAGGAGGGAAGGAAAAACAAAAGGAAGGAAGGAAGGAAGGAAAAGGGAUUAGGAAGGAGGGAAGGAAAGACAAAAGGAAGGAAGAAAGGAAGGAAAAGGGAUUAGGAAGGAGGGAAGGAAAGACAAAAGGAAGGAAGGAAGGAAGGAAAAGGGAUUAGGAAGGAGGGAAGGAAAGACAAAAGGAAGGAAGGAAGGAAGGAAAAGGGAUUAGGAAGGCGGGAAGGAAAGACAAAAGGAAGGAAGGAAGGAAGGAAAAGGGAUUAGGAAGGAGGGAAGGAAAGACAAAAGGAAGGAAGGAAGGAAGGAAGGAAAAGGGAUUAGGAAAGAGGGAAGAAAGGAACAAAAGGGAAGACAGGAAGGAAAAAUGGAACAAAGUCAGUCAGACAGGAAGUCAGACAGGAAGUAGAUUCAAUUAAAGCUCCUUCAGGUCAGUCAGACAGGAAGUAGAUUCAAUUAAAGCUCCUUCAGGUCAGUCAGACAGGAAGUCAGACAGGAAGUAGAUUCAAUUAACGGAUUCUUCCAGUUUCACUUCAUAAUAUCUCAGUUCCUGGUUCACCCUUCACUAGAUGUCUCUGUUAGAGGUUAAUUCAUCAUUUAUUCGUCAGUAACUCGUCAGCUUUGAUUAUAAAGUUAAACAUUAUAACUCCGAACACGUUAAUCAUCAGUUUCUGUUUCUUCAGACUAGAAAAAGGUUUGAGAUCAUUUUAAAUAUGUUUCGUUUUGAGUUAACCGUUAAUAAAAGUCUGAUGAAGGGUGACAGGAAGUGACAGGAAGUGACAGGAAGUGACAGGAAGUGUUUCAUCACAAACUUCCCAAAAACCUGAAACUGUCU